GGCGCUAUAGCCAAGUGGUUACGGCGACAGAUUCGAAACAUGCGAUAUCUGUUCCUCUUUGAGGGCGCAGGUUCAAAUCCUGCUGGCGUCG
rfam:Gymnopus luxurians FD-317 M1 unplaced genomic scaffold GYMLTscaffold_8, whole genome shotgun sequence.